rnacentral:rRNA from 1 species
UUGACCUCGAAUCAGGAGGGAUACCCGCUGAACUUAAGCAUAUCAAUAAGCGGAGGAAAAGAAACCAACCGGGAUUACCUCAGUAACGGCGAGUGAAGCGGUAACAGCUCAAAUUUGAAAUCUGGCUCCGUCGGAGUCCGAGUUGUAAUUUGUAGAAGAUGCUUUGGGUUGCAGAUUCGGCCUAAGUUCCUUGGAACAGGACGUCAUAGAGGGUGAGAAUCCCGUAUGCGGCCGAGGUNUGCGCCCGUGUAAAGCUCUUUCGACNAGUCGAGUUGUUUGGGAAUGCAGCUCAAAAUGGGUGGUAAAUUUCAUCUAAAGCUAAAUAUGGGCCAGAGACCGAUAGCGCACAAGUAGGGUGAUCGAAAGAUGAAAAGCACUUUGGAAAGAGAGUUAAACAGUACGUGAAAUUGUUGAAAGGGAAGCGCUUGCAACCAGACUUGGGCACUGUUGAUCAUCUAUAGUUUUCUCUGGUGCACUCGACAGCCCACAGGCUAGCAUCGGUUCGGGUGGCUGGAUAAAGGCCGUAGGAACGUAGCUCCUCUUGGGGAGUGUUAUAGCUUACGGUGCCAUGCAGCCCAUCCGGACCGAGAACCGCGCCUUCUGGCUAGGAUGCUCGCGUAUUGUUUGUAAGCGACCCGUCUUGAAACACGGACCAAGGAGUCUAACAUCUAUGCGAGUGUUUGGGCGUGAAACCCAUACGCGCAAUGAAAGUGAAACACAUGUGAGAACCCCUUUGGGGUGCAUCAUCAGCC